GGACCUUUCACAGCUCAGUCAGUGUAGAGCAUGAGACUCAUAAUCUCAGGGUUGUGGGUUCAAGCCUCACAUUGGGACAAUGGUUCC